rnacentral:piRNA from 1 species
UGGACUCACUUUGUAGACCAGGCUGGCCUCC